CAAAUUGCUUUUUUUUUUAAAGGGUGUCAGACCUGCUGUUCAGCAACAUUGACAAUGAGGAGUUGGAUGCAAUGGUACGGGAGAUCCUCAGAUGUCAUCCUAAUACAGGAUAUAAGAUGAUGCUGGGCCAUCUGAAUGCUCAAGGAAUACAAAUCCAAAGAAGUCGAGUGCAAGAAUCAAUGAGACGUGUUGAUCAGGAGGGGGUUUCUAUGCGCACUGUCCAACUCCCACAACAAGACGCAGAAGAUAUUCUGUUCCAGCCCCUAACAGUUUGUGGCAUAUUGAUGGCAACCAUAAACUUAUAAGAUGGCGAUUUGUGGUUCAUGGAGGCAUUGAUGGCUUCAGCCGUCUUAUUGUGUACUUAAAAGCCCCACCAAUAACCGUGCGUCAACGGUCUGCAACUGCUUUCUUGAAGCAGUCGGUGUAUAUGGAGUGCCAUCACGUGUUCGCUCUGAUAAAGGAGGAGAGAAUGUCCAAGUGGCCCACUUCAUGGUGUCCACCAGAGGCCCAAAUAGGAAUUC